rnacentral:misc_RNA from 1 species
ACAUCCUCAACCUGCUUGGUUCUAUCGAACCAAGUAGGCUUGGAAUUUGGAGGUUUUUCUGCUGGCUUCCUCUGAAGAAGCCAGCUCCUCUUAAAUCUAUCAGUGGGAUCCGCUUUGCUAGAUCCUCGACGUUGAUAAGAUGUUUCUACGUCUUGGGUUUCGCUCGGGAAGGACCUGCUUCUAACCGUCCCCAUCGGGGACAAUGUUCGAGAGCCGAUCGCCCUUCACGGGGUGGGAAGCUUUUCGACCCAUGAAA